AUGGGAUGGAGAAUACACGGAGGAAUUAACAUUAACCGGCCGGUGCCUAAUAGAGCGAGUCGACUGUCUUGUUGAGCUCCUCAAGCUUCUUCAUCCUCAUCCUCUCGCUUUCGCUCACCAGCUGCGUCGAUACAAGAGAUACAGAGGUGAUGAUGUUCAGUUCACCUCGAUCAGCCUGUUGACAAGCAGCGCCUUCUCCUUGCUCUUCUCGUUGUAGGCCUCCAGAAUCUCUUUGUAUUCUUUCUCCUAUUUGUGUUCGAAUCAGGAAUUAAUUGACGUGUGAGAAAAUAUUACGUUACAGAGUGUCCCAGGACACUUUAAUAAUCAUCAAAUGUUAACUGAUAAGUAGGUAUUCUCAGGAAGUAUUUUGUGCGUUCA